rnacentral:rRNA from 1 species
AUUGAACGCUGGCGGCAGGCCUAACACAUGCAAGUCGAGCGGAUGAAGGGAGCUUGCUCCUGGAUUCAGCGGCGGACGGGUGAGUAAUGCCUAGGAAUCUGCCUGGUAGUGGGGGAUAACGUCCGGAAACGGGCGCUAAUACCGCAUACGUCCUGAGGGAGAAAGUGGGGGAUCUUCGGACCUCACGCUAUCAGAUGAGCCUAGGUCGGAUUAGCUAGUUGGUGGGGUAAAGGCCUACCAAGGCGACGAUCCGUAACUGGUCUGAGAGGAUGAUCAGUCACAGUGGAACUGAGACACGGUCCAGACUCGUACGGGAGGCAGCAGUGGGGAAUAUUGGACAAUGGGCGAAAGCCUGAUCCAGCCAUGCCGCGUGUGUGAAGAAGGUCUUCGGAUUGUAAAGCACUUUAAGUUGGGAGGAAGGGCAGUAAGUUAAUACCUUGCUGUUUUGACGUUACCAACAGAAUAAGCACCGGCCAACUUCGU